rnacentral:rRNA from 1 species
AGCGAACGCUGGCGGCAGGCCUAACACAUGCAAGUCGAACGGACCCUUCGGGGUUAGUGGCGGACGGGUGAGUAACACGUGGGAACGUGCCUUUAGGUUCGGAAUAGCUCCUGGAAACGGGUGGUAAUGCCGAAUGUGCCCUUCGGGGGAAAGAUUUAUCGCCUUUAGAGCGGCCCGCGUCUGAUUAGCUAGUUGGUGAGGUAACGGCUCACCAAGGCGACGACCAGUAGCUGGUCUGAGAGGAUGACCAGCCACACUGGGACUGAGACACGGCCCAGACUCCUACGGGAGGCAGCAGUGGGGAAUCUUGCGCAAUGGGCGAAAGCCUGACGCAGCCAUGCUGCGUGAAUGAUGAAGGUCUUAGGAUUGUAAAAUUCUUUCACCGGGGACGAUAAUGACGGUACCCGGAGAAGAAGCCCCGGCUAACUUCGUGCCAGCCGCCGCCGUAA